rnacentral:lncRNA from 1 species
CCCACAGCAGAAAUGGUGUCGGUGUCCCUGGUCCCCAGUUUGCCUUGUUCCCACAGCGACGAUGUCUUUGCAGUGCUGACUAAUUUCCCCAACACUUAAGCCAAUGAAUUUUAAACGGUCUCCUGUGCUGUUUAUAAGAAAUGUUUUUUUAUAGGACCCUUACAGAAAGCAAUGGUUUUUUACAAGCUCUGCUAGAGAUUCUAUUGCUCGGAGGCACAAGCAAAGCAUAGAGACUGAUAAUCAGCAAUAAUUGCAGUCUGCUGCCCUGUGUGAUUACAGCAGUUUCAGGUAUGUCUACAGAGGAUUUCAUGCAUAAAGUUAAGGAGAUGAUUCUUAAUAAAAGGACCUCCGGUGCUCAGAAGAUGAGUUCUCAUCGUGGGAUUUUAUUCCUUUGGCUGGAAAGGAUUAUUGCCUAGAUGAACCUCACUUAAAUAACAAGAAAGCUGGAGAUACGACAGCUGCUGCUGACAAAUGCCUCUGAAGCCCAUGCAGCUCUUCUGUCAGCUCUCUGCUUUGCCUUUGCUGUUACACUGUACAGUGCCACUGAGCUUUAGAGUGUCUCUCACACACCUCCAUACGGUGUUGUAAAGUCCAUAAAGGAGCAGACCACACGUUUCUAAUGACUUCACUAAACUUAAUACAAUAAAUGUUUCCUUCCCAUAACA